rnacentral:rRNA from 1 species
ACCAUGGUUGUAACGGGUAACGGGGAAUCAGGGUUCGAUUCCGGAGAGGGAGCAUGAGAAAUGGCUACCACAUCUACGGAAGGCAGCAGGCGCGCAAAUUACCCACUCCUAGAACGGGGAGGUAGUGACGAAAAAUAACAAUACCGGACUCUAUGAGGCUCGGUAAUUGAAAUGAGUACAGUUUAAAACCCUUAACGAGGAUCUAUUGGAGGGCAAGUCUGGUGCCAGCAGCCGCGGUAAUUCCAGCUCCAAUAGCGUAUAUUAAAGUUGUUGCAGUUAAAAAGCUCGUAGUUGGAUCUCGGGAACUAGCAUGUGGUACGCUUUACUGCUGUUACUACAUGUCUGGUCCUAAUCAAUCGGUUGGCUGUUAAUGCCCUUUACUGGGUGUUUUCAGUAGCCGGUACGUUUACUUUGAGAAAAUUAGAGUGCUUAAAGCAGGCCAUACGCCUGAAUAAUGUUGCAUGGAAUAAUAGAAUAGGACCUCGGUUCUAUUUUGUUGGUUUUGUAGAGCAUUGAGGUAAUGAUUAAUAGGGACAGACGGGGGCAUUCGUAUUGCGGUGUUAGAGGUGAAAUUCUUGGAUCGCCGCAAGACGAACAACUGCGAAAGCAUUUGCCAAGAAUGUUUUCAUUAAUCAAGAACGAAAGUUGGAGGUUCGAAGACGAUUAGAUACCGUCCUAGUUCCAACCAUAAACGAUGCCAACUAGCGAUUAGCUGCUGUUAAUUAGACGACACAGCUAGCAGCUUCCGGGAAACCAAAGUUUUUGGGUUCCGGGGGAAGUAUGGUUGCAAAGCUGAAACUUAAAGGAAUUGACGGAAGGGCACCACAAGCCGUGGAGCCUGCGGCUUAAUUCGACCCAACACGGGAAAUCUCACCCGGCCCGGACACUGUAAGGUUUGACAGAUUGAGAGCUCUUUCUUGAUUCGGUGGGUGGUGGUGCAUGGCCGUUCUUAGUUGGUGGAGCGAUUUGUCUGGUUAAUUCCGAUAACGAACGAGACUCUAGCCUACUAAAUAGUACGCCGAUCUUUAGUCGGCGCGUACUUCUUAGAGGGACAAGUGGCGGUAAGCCACAUGAAAUUGAGCAAUAACAGGUCUGUGAUGCCCUUAGAUGUUCGGGGCCGCACGCGCGCUACACUGGAGGGAUAAGCGUGUUUUUCCUGCUCCGAAAGGAGUGGGUAACCCGCUGAAACCCCUUCGUGAUUGGGAUCGGAGCUUGAAAUUAUUCUCCGUGAACGAGGAAUGGCUAGUAAGCGCGAGUCAUAAGCUCGCGUUGAUUAGGUCCCUGCCCUUUGUACACACCGCCCGUCGCUACUACCGAUUGAAUGGUUUAGUGAGAUCCUCGGAUUGGACCGGAGGUGGCGCAAGUUGCCUCUAGGUUCCGAGAAGACGAUCAAACUUGAUCAUUUAGAGGAAGUAAAAGUCGUAACAAGGUU